AGCAAACCCUACCCCGACCCACUCCUCGUCCCACCCACCCUGAUCCAUCCCCUCCCUCCCACAUCGCCGCCGCCGCGACCCACACACCGCCUCGUCCCUCCCACAGCUCACGCCGGCGGCCUCCUCCCUCCCAUCUGCUUCACUCCCACCUCAGGCGCCUUCCCACCCUUCCACCUCUCUCUCCCACAACCCUCUCUCCUUCCUGGGACACAUCUCCGCCGCCACAGGUGCCGGCCGAUUCCGGCGUUCUCCAGCGACUCCCGCCACCCCGCAGCACCGUCCCGAGCUCGCCUCGCUCUGUUGGAUCUUCCCCCUUGCGGGAUUCGCUGCUCCCGGCCUUCAACGCUCAGCCGCAACCCUCCCACUAGGGUUUCGGGGGCGACGACGCCUCCAUCGCCGGCACGGCUCCGGUGACCCCUCUCCGACAUCUACUGCGCCGCCACACGGGGCUCAACCUCCUAGUUCUUCUCCGCCCUCCCUCGCCCCCACCCCACCCACAGCCUCACUCACAACACACCUACCACACGUGCAGAGCGAGAUCCAGAUGGCGACGGAGCUGACGACGGACCUUCCCAGCGGCUCCUUCUCCCCCUCCCCUCAGUCAGACCUCGGCGCAGGUUUCUCGGCGGUCGACGGGCAGACAUGGGCGGCGGGGAAGGGGAAGAGAAGCCCUUCAAUUUCCUCCAGAUCCUCUGCUGACGAUGGUCUAGCGGCACAUGGCGCCGGAGUUGAGCCUGGGCAUGAGGAGCUCGCCGCCGUUCCCCACGCCUUCCUCCUCUCGCCCCUCCCCUUCCAAACUCCCCACAGCGACGGCUAGCGAAGAUUAUACUACUAUUGUGUUUGGGUGCCUAAUUGACUGAUUGCCCACCGUUGAAAAUUUUGUUUAUAUAUAUAAAAAUCUUGAAGGUGCCACAAACUGCCAAUAAUGAUGUUGAUUAUUCUCCAGUGAAUGUGAAUGAUAAUGUAUCAUUUGUCUAGAGAUGGAGUCUGUGGAGAUAGAGUUCAUUAGUUUUUGGUGUAUUCAUCUAGAGUUCAUUUAGCAAAGUUCAGAAACGCAAACAACAUCAGUUCAUUAGUUACACUAAGCAUUUGCCUGCCUAAGUUGUAUUUAGACCAAAAUUUGCUAAUAGACACCCCCCUUCACAGAUCUGCUAUUUUUUAGCGUGCACAUAAUAUGUAUGUCUUAACAGUUUCCAGCAGUUGUGUUCUAUUGUUUGAUUAAAUGAAUCAAAACCUGAAGGAGAUCUAGAUUAACAGUAGAAUCACAUAGUUGUAAUUACCCGAGAAAUUUUAACAGAAGCUCACUGUUAUGUCCUCCAUCGGGCGAUCUUGUUUGUUAUCGCAGUAGAAUUUGGUGUGCUUGAAUAAAAUGGCGCUCAUUUGCAUCAUUGUAUUUCUGUAGAGUUUUAAGAAGAAUUCUGGUACGAACGCACUGACCGUAUACUUGUACAUGUGCAGCUGAGGAACAUCACGUGGGCUACUUCCAAGCAUGAUGUGUACGUGAUGUAGAACUAUUCUGUGAUGCAUUGGUCGUCCUUACUCCGCAAAGGAAAAGAAGUGCUCAACGUGGCAGGCCCAAAUCAGGAUAUGCAGGAAGGUCGGCCCUUGUCCAGGGGAAGAUUAGCACCAUGACGGUGAAAGACAACCUCGGCAAUGCCUUCUAGCAAGAUUUCAAUCAUAAUCUGUGCAUACUUGUUUAUGAUAUGUGUGUGCCUCCAUCAAUCCUCUUUGGCAUCAUAGGAUACAAGAUACCAAGACUAGCAGUUCUUGUCUUGCUUAUGUUUUGUGAUCUCAGCUUAUCUAAUAAAACUGGCAAUUAUAGGAUACAAGAUACCAUAACUACAUAACUGGGGUCAUUUGCGUUACUGUAGUUGUGCCGUCUGGCUAGUGGGCUAAUAUGGGAGCCACAGCAUGGCAUCCUUCUCCAUUGUAGAUCCAUUGUAUUUGCAUGCUGCUAUAUUAUGUCAAGUUGAGUGAAGCAAACAUAUCCUGGUGUGUGUGUGUGUGUUAACAUCUCCUAAUGCUCCUACCAGCUUUCUGACUUUGGCAAAUGAUUUGACUCCUCUCACCUGGCCUAGGAGCAACACCACUGCUGAUGAGAGCAGAUCCUUUCCCUCAAUAGAUUAGCAUCAUUCCAUUCUUACUGUGUAGUAGAAUUGGUAGUGAUAGAGUGGGUGAAUCUAUGUGAUGUAGAGAUACACUAAGAUAAUGCAAAAAUAUAUAUUAGUUCCGCUAAUGCUUACCAGUGAAUUCAAGUCUCCUUAUUUGAAGGUCCAACACUUGUGCAUACUGAUUUGUGUGCUUUCUGGUUUAGGGAGGAGCUGCAUGCUCUGUACCAGCUCAUCCUUGUCCUGCUCGAGGAGCAGCAGGAGGAGGGGCGCAUCUAGCCAGCCACAAAGGGCCUGCUCUGUACGACCACGUCAUCGGCCUGCUGCAGCAUCGAGUUCAAUAUGUCAGGAGCUCGAGGUCUACAAAAUUUGAAGAUCGAAACCAUAUAGCUCUACUCAGCAAAGAGCCGUCUCUUCUGUUUGAUUGUAAUAGAAUGUAAAUAUUGCAAUAUUGUAAUAGUAGGCAUAUCUGGGUUGUAAUAACUAUGUACAAAUUGUAGUAGACUUAGUGUUAUUUGACGUACUACAUCUGUACUGUUCCGUUUGAAAUAAUGAUUAUGUAUGUGAUUUGAAAACAUGUGGAAUGGAAACCUGACUUGUGGGAUCCACUUAUGAAAAUAAUCUGAGCAUUUUUGAA